rnacentral:rRNA from 1 species
UCUGCUUGACUAGCUGAGAGGAGGUGCAUGGCCGUCGUCAGUUCGUACUGUGAAGCAUCCUGUUAAGUCAGGCAACGAGCGAGACCCACGCCAACAGUUGCCAGCAUGUCCUCCGGGAUGAUGGGGGACACUGUUGGGACCGCCUCUGCUAAAGAGGAGGAAGGAAUGGGGCAACGGUAGGUCAGCAUGCCCCGAAUUAUCCGGGCUACACGCGGGCUACAAUGGUCAGGACAAUGGGUAUCGACACCGAGAGGUGGAGGCAAUCUCCUAAACCUGUCCUUGUUCGGAUUGUGGGCUGCAACUCGCCCACAUGAAGCUGGAAUCCGUAGUAAUCGCGUUUCAAAAUAGCGCGGUGAAUAUGUCCCUGCUCCUU